CGGGACGGGUGAGUAACGCGUGGAUAACCUGCCUCACACUGGGGGAUAACAGUUAGAAAUGGCUGCUAAUACCGCAUAAGCGCACAGUACCGCAUGGUACGGUGUGAAAAACCCAGGUGGUGUGAGAUGGAUCCGCGUCUGAUUAGCCAGUUGGCGGGGUAACGGCCCACCAAAGCGACGAUCAGUAGCCGACCUGAGAGGGUGACCGGCCACAUUGGGACUGAGACACGGCCCAA
rnacentral:rRNA from 1 species